GUGCCAGCAGCCGCGGUAAUACGAAGGGGGCUAGCGUUGCUCGGAAUUACUGGGCGUAAAGCGCACGUAGGCGGCUUCUUAAGUCGGUGGUGAAAUCCUGGAGCUCAACUCCAGAACUGCCUUCGAUACUGGGAAGCUCGAGUCCGGGAGAGGUGAGUGGAACUGCGAGUGUAGAGGUGAAAUUCGUAGAUAUUCGCAAGAACACCAGUGGCGAAGGCGGCUCACUGGCCCGGUACUGACGCUGAGGUGCGAAAGCGUGGGGAGCAAACAGGAUUAGAAACCCCAGUAGUCC
rnacentral:rRNA from 1 species